UACGUAGGGUGCAAGCGUUGUCCGGAAUCAUUGGGCGUAAAGAGCUCGUAGGUGGCUUGUCGCGUCUGCCGUGAAAGCCCGUGGCUUAACUACGGGUCUGCGGUGGAUACGGGCAGGCUAGAGGCUGGUAGGGGCAAGCGGAAUUCCUGGUGUAGCGGUGAAAUGCGCAGAUAUCAGGAGGAACACCGGUGGCGAAGGCGGCUUGCUGGGCCAGUUCUGACGCUGAGGAGCGAAAGCGUGGGGAGCGAACAGG
rnacentral:rRNA from 1 species